rnacentral:rRNA from 1 species
GGGCCCGCACAAGCAGCGGAGCAUGUGGUUUAAUUCGAUGCAACGCGAAGAACCUUACCAAGGCUUGACAUCCAACUAAAGCUAUGGAAACAUAGUGUCCCUUCGGGGGAGUUGAGACAGGUGGUGCAUGGUUGUCGUCAGCUCGUGUCGUGAGAUGUUGGGUUAAGUCCCGCAACGAGCGCAACCCUUGUUACUAGUUGCCAGCGAGUAGAGUCGGGGACUCUAGUAAGACUGCCGGGGAUAACUCGGAGGAAGGUAGGGACGACGUCAAAUCAUCAUGCCCCUUACGUCUUGGGCUACACACGUGCUACAAUGGCUGUUACAAAGGGAAGCGACAUGGUAACAUGAAGCAAAUCUCAAAAAAACAGUCCCAGUUCGGAUUGUGGGCUGCAACCCGCCCACAUGAAGUCGGAGUUGCUAGUAAUCGCGAAUCAGCAUGUCGCGGUGAAUGCGUUCCCGGGCCUU